AGCGAACGCUGGCGGCAUGCCUAACACAUGCAAGUCGAACGACACCAUCGUGACUAGUUGCGCACGGGGGCGUAACGCGGGGGAAGCUUCCGGUAGGUUCGGAAUUACUCCCCUAAGGGGGGGCUAAUACCGGGAAAUUUCUGCUAACCAAAGAUAUGUCGCCUUUGUGUGAGCCCGCGUUGUUUGGACUUGUUGGUAUUGUAAAAGCCUACGAAGGCUACGAUACAUAGCUGGUCUGAGAGGCUGAUCAGCGACACUGGGACUGAGACACGGCGGAGACUCUUACAGGAGGCAGCAGUGGGUAAUACUGCCCAACGGGGGAGAGCAUGAUCCAGUACUGCUGCGUGAGUGAUGAAGGUCUUAGGGUUGUACAGCUGUUUUACCCCGGAUGAUAAUGACAGUACCGGGAGAAUAAGCACCGGCUAACUCCGUG
rnacentral:rRNA from 1 species